GGGUCAGGAGGUUGGUCGUGCCACCGGUACGUACUGGUCUCACUGAUUCCUCCUUCCUGAGGAACCGUAAUGCCAUUAAUUUGGUGUUGCGGGGAAACAGGACUGUUACUUUGAAAAAAUUAGAGUGUUUAAAGCAAGCUAACGCUUGAAUACAUUAGCAUGGAAUAAUGAAAUAGGACGAUCGAUCCUAUUUUGUUGGUUUCUAGGAUUGACGUA
rnacentral:rRNA from 1 species